rnacentral:rRNA from 1 species
GAUGAACGCUAGCGGGAGGCCUAACACAUGCAAGCCGAGCGGGAUUUGUUGGUUAGCUUGCUAACUAACAAUGAGAGCGGCGUACGGGUGCGUAGCACGUGUGCAACCUGCCUUUAUCUGGGGGAUAGCCUUUCGAAAGGAAGAUUAAUACCCCAUAACAUAUUGAUUGUCAUCAGUUAAUAUUGAAAGCUCCGGCGGAUAGAGAUGGGCACGCGUAAGAUUAGCUAGUUGGUGAGGUAACGGCUCACCAAGGCUGCGAUCUUUAGGGGGCCUGAGAGGGUGAUCCCCCACACUGGUACUGAGACACGGACCAGACUCCUACGGGAGGCAGCAGUGAGGAAUAUUGGACAAUGGGUGAGAGCCUGAUCCAGCCAUCCCGCGUGAAGGACUAAGGACCUAUGGUUUGUAAACUUCUUUUAUACAGGGAUAAACCUACUCUCGUGAGGGUAGCUGAAGGUACUGUAUGAAUAAGCACCGGCUAACUCCGUG